AUUGAACGCUGGCGGCAGGCUUAACACAUGCAAGUCGAACGAUGAAACUCUAGCUUGCUAGAGAUGAUUAGUGGCGGACGGGUGAGUAACAUUUAGGAAUCUGCCUAGUAGUGGGGGAUAGCUCGGGGAAACUCGAAUUAAUACCGCAUACGACCUACGGGUGAAAGGGGGCGCAAGCUCUUGCUAUUAGAUGAGCCUAAAUCAGAUUAGCUAGUUGGUGGGGUAAAGGCCCACCAAGGCGACGAUCUGUAACUGGUCUGAGAGGAUGAUCAGUCACACCGGAACUGGGACACGGUCCGGACUCCUACGAGAGGCAGCAGUGGGGAAUAUUGGACAAUGGGGGCAACCCUGAUCCAGCCAUGCCGCGUGUGUGAAGAAGGCCUUGUGGUUGUAAAGCACUUUAAGCAGGGAGGAGAGGCUAAUGGUUAAUACCCAUUAGAUUAGACGUUACCUGCAGAAUAAGCACCGGCUAACUCUGUG
rnacentral:rRNA from 1 species